GACAGAGGAUGCAAGCGUUAUCCGGAAUGAUUGGGCGUAAAGCGUCUGUAGGUGGCUUUUUAAGUCCGCCGUCAAAUCCCAGGGCUCAACCCUGGACAGGCGGUGGAAACUACCAAGCUGGAGUACGGUAGGGGCAGAGGGAAUUUCCGGUGGAGCGGUGAAAUGCGUAGAUAUUGGGAGGAACACCGGUGGCGAAGGCGGCCCUCUGGACCGGUACUGACGCUGAUGCGCGAAAGCGUGGGGAGCAAACGGG
rnacentral:rRNA from 1 species